GAUGAACGCUGGCGGCGUGCCUAAUACAUGCAAGUCGAGCGAACAGAUGAGGAGCUUGCUCCUCUGACGUUAGCGGCGGACGGGUGAGUAACACGUGGAUAACCUACCUAUAAGACUUGGAUAACUUCGGGAAACCGGAGCUAAUACCGGAUAAUAUAUUGAACCGCAUGGUUCAAUAGUGAAAGACGGUUUUGCUGUCACUUAUAGAUGGAUCCGCGCCGCAUUAGCUAGUUGGUAAGGUAACGGCUUACCAAGGCAACGAUGCGUAGCCGACCUGAGAGGGUGAUCGGCCACACUGGAACUGAGACACGGUCCAGACUCCUACGGGAGGCAGCAGUAGGGAAUCUUCCGCAAUGGGCGAAAGCCUGACGGAGCAACGCCGCGUGAGUGAUGAAGGUCUUCGGAUCGUAAAACUCUGUUAUUAGGGAAGAACAAAUGUGUAAGUAACUAUGCACGUCUUGACGGUACCUAAUCAGAAAGCAACGGCUAACUACGUG
rnacentral:rRNA from 1 species